CUAAAAAUGAAAACAGUGAAGACCUUAAUUUGUAGCCACUACAUAUAUAGCUUAAGUAUCCCGGCUUACGGGAGAGAAGAUCCCUUUAAAAAAAAAAUUUAAAUGGAAAAAUAUCCCAACCAACUCCUCUCCAAAAAGGUAAGUACUACAGAAGAUAAUAAAAAGCUAAGUCACUGAACUUCUUCAGUUUCAUUCAUUUUUUUAUGUUUACAAUGGGACUUCCUUGAGCAGAAGGAACCAAUCCUUGAAAACAAUCAAUUCCUGAUCACUCUUUUCCAAUCCUGCACUAAUGCACUGUCUCACACAAACCGAAAAUAUGUUCUAAGUCAAAAUGUGUCCAGGGGUCGGGCGCGGUGCCUCACGCCUGUAAUCCCAGCACUUUGGGAGGCCGAGGCGGGUGGAUCAAGAGGUCAGGAAAUCGAGACCAUCCUGGCCAACAUGGUGAAACUCUGUCUCUACUGAAAAUGCAAAAACUAGCCAGGCAUGGUGGCGUGCGCCUAUAGUCCCAGCUACUCAGGAGGCUGAGGCAGGAGAAUCUCUUGAACCCAGGAGGUGGAGGUUGCAGUGAGCCAUAUCGUGCCACUGCACUCCAGCCUGGGAAACAGAGCGAGACUGCAUCUCAAAAAAAAAAAAAAUGUGCCCAGGGUCCAUUAUAGGCCUGCACUCGUAGAAAUACGAGGGUUGAGAUUUCAAAUGCUCAUCUGCAGGGGAGACAACAUAUCACACGUGUCCAGGUUACAGUCAGAUAUGUCAUUCUGGAACACUAUGCGGGUGCUCAAAUACAGACUCCUAAAUUGCUCUGACAACAGUAGCAAUUCUAGUCCCUUAAAUGGCUUGUAGUCAUCGUGAAGGCUGAAGACCCACUUCCCCGGUCCUUCUGAUUGUAAACCAAUGUUUUCCUAAAAUUCCCUAGCAUUAAUUAUUUUAAUGGUUUGUGGAAUUAUUUAAUGGUUUGUGGAAGCACUUGGGAAACAGGCUGACAAUGGAAACUUUGUAUUUGAAAAAUAUUGUAAUAUCUGUAGAGGUUCUACUCAGGAAUACUUUCCAUGCUUCCAUACUUUCUCUGAUUUAGGAGAAAGUUUCUCAAGAGAAUGAUACUCUCAACAGAAACGGAAAGUUUCUCAACAGAAAGCCUCCAUUAUUUUUGUGGUAGGUAUGAGAAGAAUAGGUUGAAAUAAAAGGGGAGAUGAAAACUUAAGGACUUUAAGUUUUGUUUGAAAAGAAGAUCAUAAUUUAAGUCUGGGUUCUAAACUACGGCCGUUAAAAAAAAAAGAAAAAAAAAUCAAGAAAAUUCCACUCUUUAACUUGGGGGAAAUUUUUGUGAGGUUCUCUUCGUGGGAAGCAGGGAUUCGGCCAUGGAGGGCAAGUGACUUGCUGAUUUCAGUACCCAGAAGGUUUUUUUAAAUAUGAAAUUUGUCCACUAUGAGAUGAAUGUGUAUAUACUACCCAUUCUCUUCUUGAAGUGUCAAUGAAAAGUCGGAUUUUAAAAGCUAAUGGUAUCAGUGCUGCAAAGGCAGGCCAAUUACUGCCAGUGCCAGACAACUUUUUUCUUUGUUUAUUUUUAAUCUUAUUUCUUUGCUUCUUUUUGAUAAAAGAUAUACCUAAAGAGGCACCUACACAUAACCCUGGCACCGUCCGCCGCCCCAAGAACCUUCCUGCUUUACCAAUGGCCUGGGAGUUGGCAAACACGCUAACAAAAAAAAAAACCAAAAAAACAAAAAAAAAAAAACAAAACGGGCUUUCGCCUCAACCUCAUAGUUCCUCCCCGUCUGCAACCACCGGUCUUCACCGGAUUCACAGUCGGAACCGCGAGCAAAGACACCUAGUAGAGCCGGCCGAUUCCUAGGUCCUCCGGCCAGGAGGCGCUGCGGGCCAGUCUCCGGGGGCCACCGCAGCCCGCGCGCCCAGCACCCCCACCCUCACGGCAGAGCCCAGCCCAGCCCCGCGGCGGAGCUCCGAGUUCUGCGCCGCCCGCCGGGGUUACUCCCGGUCAUUCCACGGCACCACCUCGGCCCAGCUUCCCCAUCUGCGCCCAGGCAGAAGCUGCCCCGAGAGACCAGCAGCAACGGUCUGGAAGAUGGGGCUGCAGGGAACGUGGGAGAGGGAGGAUUGGGCACCCCACCUCCGGGUCUCCGCAGGCUCUCCUAAGUCUUGUUUUUAAAAGAAACAAAACUCGGCCGCGCGCGGUGGCUCACGCCUAUAAUCCCAGCACUUGGGGAGGCCGAGGCCGGUGGAUCACCUGAGGUCGAGGGUUCGAGACCAGCCUGGCCAACAAGUUGAAACCCCGUCUCUACUAAAAAUACAAAAAUUAGCUGGAUGUGGUGACGCGCCUGUAAUCCCAGCUACUCAGGAGGCUGAGGCAGGAGAAUCGCUUGAACCCGGGAGGCGGAGGUUGCAGUGAGCGGAGAUCGUUCCAUUGCACUCCAGCCUGGGCGACAGACCGAGACUUAAAGGAAAGAAAAAAAAGAAAAAGAAAAGGAAACAAAACUCGUCCGCGCUCUGCGCCAGGGACACCAGCUCAGCUGAGCGCACGGAGACUGUAGGCAGGACCUCCCUACCCCUCAGGUCAAACAAAGACCCAAGGCCUCUAGUGAGCAAUAGCACCACGGACCGUUUGGGACACCUCCAACUCGAGUUCCCGGAUUCACAGUCCGGGACUGUGCCGCUCCAGUCCCGGGGAGCAUAUAGCCAAUUCCCAGGUCAGAACAGACCAGCUUCUUAAGAACCGAGUGAAGACUCAGUGCUGGCAUUUGUCUCCGUAGGUACUGGCCGACCUGCAACCAGAAGGGUUUCUAGCCAGCUCAGGGCCCUCCGAACAAAGCAGCGCUCGGUGCCGGACCUGCAGCUCUCCCCACCCGGCAGCAGCGCCCUCAGCACGCCCGGGAACCCCCGACCCCUCUGAGCCCGGGGUACUGCGCCCGGGUCUCCACGCCCAGAGAUGCUCCCCGGUCUCCACCGUCGGGCAAGCCCCAAGCGCAGCAGCGCAGAGUCCUGGGGUCACCAGAGCUCGUACUAGGACAUCGUCUCCCCAUUUAACACCGCCUCCGGUCCCAUCUGAGUUGCAAGUGGUGGGGAUGUGGGGCUCCGGAUCAAAGUCCCCGAAACCGAGCACUUCCCGAAGCCUCCUUGGCCUCGAAACAAAACAAUAACGCCCAACUCCAUCAUAUUCCAGAACUCCCACCACCUGCAUACAGACAUUCAGCUGCACAAGCCCCCUCCAUGCUACAGUCAACAGGAUCUCCAGGCCACGGCUCAAGCCCAGGUACUCACAUCAGUGGUUCUAUCAACACUCAGGACAGACCCAUAGAAGAGGCCCAAGCAGGCCCUGGAAGUGCAUGUGGAGGCCACCAGGCAAGGAAUUCUGGAGUCCCAGGUACUCAUAACUCUGGGUGGCAUGGCCCCUUUGCACCAUGGACUGUUUGCCCUUAGAAAGGGAUGGAUCUGAGCUGGGCGCAGUGGCUCAUGCCUGUAAUCCCAGCACUUUGGGAGGCCAAGGUGGGCAGCUCACCUCAGGUCAGGAGUUCGAAACCAACCUGGCCAACAUGAUGAAACCCAGUCUUUACUAAAAAUACAAAAAUUAGCCAGAUGUGGUGGCGAGCGCCUGUUAUCUCAGGAGGCUGAGGCAGGAGAAUCGCUUGAACCCGGGAGGCAGAGGUUACAGUGAGUCGAGAUCAUGCCACUGCACUCCAGCCUGAGUGACAGAGCAAGACUCCGUGUCAAGAAAAAUAAAAAGAAAGGGAUGGAUCUCAGAAAGGCCAGAGAUGAGCUUUCUAAAGCCCAAGGCCCAGGAGAGCGGACCCCCUUGCCUCAGUCAAAGAAUAACCUUGAUCAUAUCUGGGUGUCCAUCAGCAUGUUACUUCACAUCUCUGUACCUCAGUUUAUUCAUCUUUCAAAUGGAAGCAACAUAUAGAGCUGCCUUAUAGAGUUGCUCUGGGUAUUAGAUGUAUAAUAUAUGUGAACUGCUUGGUACUGGGCCUGGUAUAUGGUAUGUGCUCAAUAAAUGAUAGUUGUUUAUUAUUGUCAUUUAUUAUCAUCAUCAUCAUCAUCAUAAUUAAAUAUUAUUCCAAGCAACAAUGUGUUCCUCAUAGUCCAACAAUAAUUUAAUAAAUGUAACCUUUCCAAAACUCCGAUCUGCAAAUUUUAAAUAAAUAUUUUCAAUUAAAUUAAUC
rnacentral:lncRNA from 10 species